AUAUCAAUAAGCGGAGGAAAAGAAACCAACAGGGAUUGCCCCAGUAACGGCGAGUGAAGCGGCAAUAGCUCAAAUUUGAAAUCCGGCCCCCGGGUCUGAGUUGUAAUUUGAAGAGGAUGCCUCGGUGCGGGCCCCGAUCGAAGUUCCUUGGAACAGGACGUCAUAGAGGGUGAGAAUCCCGUCUGUGGUCGGUGGCCCCUACCGUGUGAGGCUCCUUCGACGAGUCGAGUUGUUUGGGAAUGCAGCUCAAAAUGGGUGGUAAAUUUCAUCUAAAGCUAAAUAUUGGCCAGAGACCGAUAGCGCACAAGUA
rnacentral:rRNA from 1 species